UACAGUUUUUUUUUUUUUUUUUUUUUUUUUUUUUC
rnacentral:ribozyme from 1 species